UUAGUACUCCCUCCGUCCGAAAAUACUUGUCCUAGAGAUGUAUGUAUUUAGACUUAUUUUAGUUAUAGAUACAUCCAUUUUAUUCAUUUCUAGGACAAGUAUUUCCGGACGGAGGGAGUACAUC
rfam:Hordeum vulgare subsp. vulgare, WGS project CAJW01000000 data, contig: morex_contig_130144